UUGCACUUCGAAGCACUAUAAAAAUUAAAGGUAGUGUAAUUAGAUGUUAUGCCAACUAUAUGACGAAAACACCAUAACGAACGAACGUCCAUUUCACCAGUGAUUUUACUCACGCAUAAAGAUUCAUUGAUGCCUGUCACGUCAGUCGCCAGUCUCACCGUCAUCAACAUCGUGUUCGUCCGCUAUUUUGUGGCGGUAUGAUGGUUAGCAUUCACUUUCUGCGAAUUAUUCGAUCUUCCUUUCUCAUCGCGAGACCCGACGUACAGCGUGCAUGUAACAGAUGUCAUAGCCGCUGCAGACAAUUUCAUUGAACUGUCGUGUUGUGGUGCGUCUUGCCUCAACGUGUGAACGCGACGUGCUGCUGUCAUCGACAGGAUGCGAUCGCACGCCGCCGACCGGCAACAACUCGCAAGGCAGCAGGUCGUCCACGAUGGCGAGGGUGACACAUUCUUCGUUCACGUGUGAAAUCAGGCCACAACGAUUGAAGGUGCCUGGGCAGAACGGAAAGAAGAAAAGGAAGACAGUGCGCAUGAGCUGCCACGUGGUGGCGUUCUAGUGACAUGGACGACACUGGGAGAAAUCACUCAACAGCACGGUCGGUGACCCGGCCCGAGGGAUGACCUGCCUGGUGAAAUCUACUCUUUGGAGGGGAGGACUUCACGUGGCCACAGGCGUCACUGUUUCAUCUUAGGCGCUCGUAAGACCGCCGGGACCUGCAGUCCCUUAGGCCUGGAUGCUGACCAAGCUUGACAAGGACCACGAGUCGGAGCUCAAGGCAUCACGUGAACUCAAGCACUGCUUCGUCCACCUUCAAGUGAUGUCGACGGGGACAGCCGUUCCUGUGCCAGUCUCUUCGUUGUCGAGAUAUAGGAAUACUGCUUUCUCUUGCCAACGUCUCAUCGACCUACACGCGGGAUGCGUCGACAAGUAGCCCUGCCCGGUGAGACUGUUCCUAAUUGGAACUGAAUAUGCGGCAACAGCACGCAGCACCCAAGCUUCUGUGACAGCUCUGAUGUGGAACUCGAGGAAGGCCAUUGGGCAGAGGUACAAUACUAAACGGACCGGAGUUCGUCCGCACAGCUGCGACUACUGCCCGUACAGGACGUAUUAUAAGUCCCACCUAGAAAGACACAUUCGGACUCACACGGGAGAGAAACCCUACGCGUGCCAGCUUUGCCAGGUGUCAUUUUCGGAUCCCAGCGCCUACACUCGUCACUUGCGGGUACACAUCGAUGAAACAAGUGCUCUGCCUGGGUCAUUCAGAUGCGGCCCGUAUUAGACAUCGCCAUGUGGGAGACACGAUUUGUGAGACAACAGACGGGCAACCCGGCGAGAGAUGUACCUCGUCGCAUGCGUCCGCUCAGCGGUUCUCAGAUUUUUAGCGCCUGCGCCUACCACAUAGGGUGAAUAUCUUGACCAAGAUGAGCCUCACUGUGGCAGCCAGCACUCAGGCGAAAAAAGACUUUUCGAGUGAGUAGCAAAGUAGAGAGCUGAAAUAUGGUACUGCGGAUUUCAAUGAUGCAUCGUUGGAAACACUGAAUUUGCGCCCGCCCACGCGUUUGUAAGUGGAGCUCACCAAUACACACGUGAAGAUGUGCCCUGCUUCGAGAGAGUGCCAUCUUAUCAUGAAAGGGCAGGAGAAGCUUAGACGCUGCAUUCUCCACGGCCAUGUAUGUGGCGGCCUCGAUGGUCUGACGAGGAGCUCUGCGAUGCUGCCACCUCCUCACACAUUAUUGAUGACCGUCGACCAAGAUUUGGUGAUUUGUCAUGACGAACUGCAGCUGUGUGUUUUUAGGCAACUGUUUCAAGCACUUGCUGGACAUCUGUGCCACGUUACGGUGAGUGGGUGUGCUUAUACAGCGUACUGUUGCGUCGACAUUUGUUUUCACUAUUGGCUGAUCGACUUGUCAGUGAGUGCUUAAACCUGGGAAGCUGUACUAUUCGCCCACAUGUGUUCGUUUUCAUCUACCUUAGAACUUAUUCUUUGUGCUACUGCAGAACGGCAUCCGUGAAGUCAGACUGACGUACUUCCAGUGAGGUUUAGGCCUGGAUAUAAAGAAAAAGGACACUUUGGAGCCUUCGUUUUCCGGAGUCGUAAUAAUCAAUCUUUUGCUGCUCAACAAACAGAAAUAGUUCAAAGAAUAAUUUACCACCCCAGAUUGAUUUUGUGAUGCUUUUGUAGUGUCCCUGUAGGCCCAUGAUAUUGUUACGUGUGGCGAUAAUGAAACAAGGACGUGUUUUGUGUGAUAAUUCUUGAUGACCCACAUUUAUUUACAGUAGAAUUGUUCUGUUUAUUCUAAUUUAUAUCUAUACACGGUGACCAACCUAAGAAUUCAGUACCCGUUCCGCAUACAAAACCACACUGCGCCUGUCCUAUGUGGCGCCACGCUCGAAAACAUGAACCCCGAGCGAUGCAGAUACUUGAAAAAAAGCUCGUGGGUGAACGGAAUCGGCUUGCGCAUUUAUACACUCGCUUUGAGUUGGUCUAUUAGCCAUUGCAUUUUUACGCUGUCACCGACUAUAGGCUGCACCACGGCUCAGUCCACUCUAACAUAUCAGACAUGUUGUGUCUGCAUGGCGGCUUUCGGAACCACACCAUUGCGAAAUCCCGACUCUCUGUAGUAGUGCGUUGCUGACCCCAGAAAGCCUGGUCGAAUACGCGUGAGUCGCGGGUCAUGACGUAAUCAAGAAAAUUUUUGUGCGCAUUGCUACACUCUUGUCUCUCUAAACUUUGUUCUAGUGCCAGUGUUAAUUGCAGGCGACAACAAGGAGAAUCCAGCUGCCAGUGAACCUAUUGUGAACUUCACUUGAUUUAAUCCAUGCACAAAUCAAAGCUCUCCACACGUCAUGAGUACGUGUUCACAUUUAUUCCGUACAAGAGAGCCUAGAUAAGUUUGUAUUCUCUGGACCUUCAUUUGUUAUCCGUGCGAAUGAAUAAUAAUGUUUCACCCUUGUGCCAAGCCAUUAUGGAAUUACAAAGAACCAGCAGCAGACGGCAAAUUCUAUUAAAAACGGGGGGUGGGGGAGGAACUUUUAAUGAAUGGUUGUGGUGAGUGUAUAAGCUAGCCAAUUGAAACGAGCCCUUGUGCCAUUCCUAUUGCUGCAAAAAGGUUGUUAAAAUGCUCCUUUGCCGCAGUGUAAAUACAGUCUAACCCACUUAUAACAAAAUCGGUUGUAACAAUGAGAAGCUGCUGCACCGUCAACUUUUGUAUGUUUUCUAUGGUGAAAUAACCCGCUUACUACAAUGCCCCCAUGCCGUGUUAUUGGUCAUAAUGAUGAAGUCUGGCUACUGGGUGUCGAGCCGAAAGGGAGUGGAAUGCGCGCUCAUUGAAAAGAAAAAAAGAAAUUUGAGCCGUUUCACGCUGCUGCGUGCUGUUUUUCAUCCUUCUCCGCACCGCCAGCCUCGCACGCCUCUGUCUUGUUUCCGUUCCACCCCUCUGAACAGGAAUGGGCUGCGCCCAUAGCUCUACGCCGCGCCACCCUCUGAAACACAAAUGGACCACGCCAACUGCGCUGAUAAUGCUGGGCUGCAAAUCUGCGACGCAACAGAGCCUAAACGGCAUUAGCGUCCACCGAAACGAAGCGACGGAGUUCGCAUUGCCAUAGUCAUCAGUGAAUAUCGUACUGGAAUGACAGCAAUGCCGGAAUGCUUCGUGCCUAUUUGUGCAUUUAAAGCCUUUGUUCUUGCAUUUACCGCCACGCAUAGUACCGCGUUGGCCGCGUGCUUUCAUGACUGUGUAGUUGCCAUCCAUGAUCGCGUCGAUAGCAGCCAUGAUUUCUUCCGCAGCGGUUGCGGCAAACAGUAGUUUCGUUUGGAUUCGGUACGCACGUCAUCCACGUGCCUAAAAAACUGCGUAGUCGCCAUCUAUGAUCGUGCCGAUGGGGCUCCUGUUUUGCCCAGGGGGCGCUGCGAAAAUGGUGCUAAAGAGCGCCCUCUGUCCUGAACUGGGUAGUACCAAGCUUGGUUGUCUGCUUCGGAAAGCACAUUUACAAUAUGGAGCCACCACUUUCGGUUGUGCUGUACUACGGCCUGCAGCGAAUAUCGGGCGCCGAAUAUUUUUUCAGCGGUGGCACGCUGCGAAAAGGCAAGAAAUUGUGCAACGCCGAAUGGGUGUAUGCCGUUCAAGAAAUAAGCGGCGAAGUUUUAACGUGGUGUCCAUCGCAAGUGAAGCGAGUCGUGUAUGAAGUUGAACUUCAGGUAAGGUUUGCAUGCUGCUAGAUUCAGGCGCACAAACGCAAGGAAAUGCUUGCUAUAAAUUAAUUCACCGCAGCGAUAAGCAGACAUCAUGUGUACGGAACUAUUCGAGCGCACGACGGUAUGCGCCGCGACGGCAGCGGUCUUUUAGCAUGUCGCGAUGUACGAACUGCUCGAGCGCACGAUCGUACGCGCUGCGAUGGCAGCAGUCUUUCAGCAUGCCGCGAAACGGCGGGGCUCCUGCAAUCUUUGUUGACUGCAUGCCGCUAGACAAGUAGUUAUGCCUGCGCUGUAGUAGCAGCCAUCUGUCCCUUUAGCAACUGAUAAAUAACUGAUGCAAUGCAUAUGAGCUCGCAGUAACGUACUAUGUGCGAAUCGAGCUGCAGUGCAAGCUCGUGUGCUGCUCGCUUGAUGUAGCUUUUAAUGACAGCGCUCGAACAUUGAUGUGCUGUAAUCAAUACUGCCUUGCUGCACUGCCUCAACGUGCUGGCUUGAGGUCAAAGAUGAGCACAUUUAACUCUUAAACCUGUGCUGCUCGUAGUUGGAUAAUAAAGUUACCCAUCGCGCCCGACGCUCCGCUUCGUGAGGCCUUGAAGGAAAACGGUAGAAUCUGAAGUUGGGAUUAAGGCCUUCUUGCUCGUGGCAGCUCACGAUGCUGCAUUAAUGACGGUGACGCUUUUUUGAGGCAUCGCCGAUUCCUUCUGCUUCCAGCAUUACGUCCCACGGCACACGGAGAGCCCAUUUGCGUUCAACUAGGCUGCGGCCAGCUCGCAGCGUGGUCUGUGAGAAGUGACGAGCCUUUUCGCACUCGCAACAGGGCAAAAAAAAAAAGUGCGAAUCGACGCAAAACUCAGACUAGAAACGUGUUUCACCACAGCCAGGGCUCGAGAACAAUUUAAGGACCACACAAAGAGUGAUGGAACGGAAAAUGGUAGGCCUAAUGUUAAGAGACAAAAAGAGAGCGGUGUGGAUCAGAGAGAAAAUGGGGAUAGCCGAUAUUCUAGUGGACAUUGAGAGGAAAAAAUGGAGCUGGGCAGACCAUGUAACGCAUAGGAUGGAUAACCGGUCGGAGAUCGCAGGGAGAGGCCUUCGUCCUGCAGUGGACAUAAAUAUAUGCUGAUGAUGAUGACUAUAGCAGUGCCAUUCUUGAACGUCGAGAGCCACGACUUGUUGCAAGCGAUCAGAGCAUGCAGGAAGCAGAGUUAAGCAGUUAAACAAGUCAACACAAUUAGCAGCCGGAUGGAUGAAGGUGGUGGGGAGGGGCACUGGCCUCCCCGCCAUUGUAGUUUUCUCACUACAGCUCUGCCAUUCCCCUAUAUAUAUAUUUUUUCAUGCAACCCGGUUAUAACAAUGGAAUUUUCUUGGUACUUGAUUAUUGUUAUAAGUGGGUUCGACUGUAUAGCAAGAGAAAUUUUGAAGCAUUAUCGUACACUAUGCUGUCGUGUUUUAACCAGCUCACACCGUUGGUCCUUCUCGCUCUGUUGCUCUCACAUCUUGUACAAAAUACCAGGUUACUCGUGUGGAAUGCACGUGUAUUUCUUUAGCGACGUGGCUCUUCCGUCGUACUUAACACCGCGUUUUCUACUUAUCUACUAGAGAAAUCCAUAAACACGUGGGGCAGCUGUUGAAAUACGUCAAGUAAAGAUUGUUGCAACAUACGUGAGAAAAUUCCAAGAUUCUUCACAACACAACUUGCAGUGUCUGAUGCGAUACGUUCCAUUAUGGUUGUCUUCAAUGAAGUAUGGUGCACGAAGGGGACUCUGCUGUCUGCACAGCGUUGUGGCACUUCCCUCGGAUUUGCUCCGUGAGAUCAGACAGGCAGCCAAGCCAACUUGGCUUUUAUUCAGUUGUAAUUUGUUAUUUUCUGGGGAUAAUUCCAACCCUACUGACCGUAAGCAAUGGUCUGAGUGUAAUUAACGAAGGCCGGAGCCGAAUAUGUAUUAAUAUAUAUUCGAAGGCAAGAAGUUCCAACCUUUGAAAUUCUUCUGGACACUACAGAGAAUGUACUCCGAGCUGCACUAGUACGCUGUCCUUGUGCAAUACUGAAAAUAUCAUUCUCGGCUCAAGAGGAGGCUUGCUAAGCCGGAAAAGGCACAAAAACUAAGGACCGGUGGCGACUACACCGUGAAUUUCCCGCACCAGCUUGACGGUGUCUGCUUGGGUCUAGCUAAUAUUUUUAUUGGUAAACAUGCGCUACAUUCUAUUUUAUAAGAGCCACAGGCUGAACAUAGGAGUGUUGUGGUUGAGUAAAAGUUCUUGAAACAUCCCCAGUACGGAAAGAAUGCUUUCAAAUCUGUGACAUCACACUGGCUACCUGACUAGGGUUUCGGUGCGAAAUUAAAACGAGAGACUGGGUUUCAUUUUGUAUUGUAAUAAAAUAAAUGUAAUAAUGCGAAAUUAAAGAAAAUAGAGGUUUGAAGGAAUGUCUUAACCAGACGUGUGUGUAUCUUUCUAGUGUCGCUCUAAGAGCAGUCAGUGUCUGCAGUGACAUAUCGGCGGCUGAGCAGUCAGCCACCGAUAUGUCGCCUGUCGUCCAACAUAAACGCACAGGCUCGCCAUCCUCAUUGAGAACCUUGUAGGACACCUCAGCAAGAAGUGGGGUGAACAUUUAAUCACGCAUUUUGAAAGUCCAGUUGGUGAGUUUGCUGCAUUGAGAUCCUGUGAGCUAUCCUUGGCACUGUUAGUUUAAGCGUGUAGCCAUGACUAGCCAGGAUGCGGUCGGUCCGUCUAAUCGCUGACCUGUAUGAGAUGCAUGCAUGCACGUGCGUGUGAUCAGAAUUGCGACGACACUUUAGUAGGCUGUGGCAUUUACAGUUUUGGUGUCUUAGCUGUAGCACAGGAGACAACGCCUGGCAGCAUCAUUGAACAUCUGUGUCAGUGUAAGAAAGUUGUCUUUCCACAUUCAUUUGCCUUUUCAUUGGCAGUAUAAGUUUUGUAGUAAAUUGAACCAUAAAGCGAUCGUUUAUAAUAUUUCGUCAUUUAUCACGGCUCAGUUGUUGUCGAACUCUGUAAAGGACCGGAGCCUUAUAAGAGCUGAAAUUUGCAGCUUUUUUUUCCCCCUCAUCCCAGUAUGUCUCAUGGAGAAAUAAAAGUUUGAUU